rnacentral:tRNA from 1 species
GACACUAUGGCCGAGCGGUUAAGGCGUGUGACUAGAAAUCACAUCUCUUCGGAGGCGUCGGUUCAAAUCCGACUGGUGUCG